rnacentral:lncRNA from 1 species
CAGAUACAUGCUUCCCAGAAAUAUCUUAACAGUUUGGCUGAAAAAGAGAUAGUUUGGCAGGUUUUCUCUUUGGGGCAUGAAAUAUUUAGAACAUUUCUAAAAGUGCUGUGAAAAUUUGAAUUUCAUUCCAUUUUCAUAUAUAUUUCUGUCCAUUAUCUCCUUCAUCACAAAAUUAUAGCAAAGAUGGAGGCAGAAGGAAAUUACUUUGCAAUCCAAGUCAUACGGUAAGUAGUAGAGCUUAGUCAAGAAGCAUCAAUAAGAUAAGUACCCACGAAUAGUCUCUUAAGUAUAUUAUUCUUUCAUGGAAUUGCUGUUGUUGUUUUUUUCCCCCUAAGACUAGUGAUGACGUUUUUCUACAUCCUAUAAAUCCCACAGUGCCACAUCCAAAACUGUGUUCACUUGUUUGUUCGAUAAGUAGAUCAACAGUGAGGUUUGUCAAUUCCCUGAUACAAUAGUUCCACCAGCUGCUUUGAGGUUGCAGAGCAAUAAUGGUAAGAUCUCAGAAUCAUACCUCUGGCUGACUUCCACAUAGGGAUGAACAGUAGAUCCUAACAAAUUUUAAGUAGCUCUAAUACGAUUACUAUAUAAUUUUGGGGACAGCUGCUGGUGAUUUUGAAAUUCUUAAUUCUGUGAUAAUAACUCUUCCAUUUGGUGUUUUCUAGAUAAAAUUGGAAUACAUUUAUAAAAGAGACUUAAAAAGGCAAGGAGACCUGAGCUUCUGAGAAGACCUGAUAAAUAGUGGUGUGAAAAUCUCCCAUUCAAUACUAUUUUGGAGGGGAUUUCUUCUGGAAAAUGUUUUUCUUUGGUUGAGGAGUCUACCCGGCCCAGAUGUCAUAGAGCUGUCUCUGGAUAUCCUGGCAUAGAAUUAACCUUCCAAACGGCAGAGGACCUGUGUGAGCUUCAUCUACAUGAUUGUUUUCUAGAAGAUUAUCCUACAUUGUGCAUUCUUCCUCUGCCUAAAGGUGUGAAGAAGUGUACACCAAACAAAAUGAGUAACCUCUCCAGUUCCUUCUGCGCUAUCUCUUCAACCUUCACUAACACUCCUGAAGCCACCUGACACAUUAUAAGAAUAUCGAG